rnacentral:rRNA from 1 species
UACGAAGGUCCCAAGCGUUAUCCGGAUUUAUUGGGUUUAAAGGGUGCGUAGGCGGAUUAUUAAGUCAGUGGUGAAAGCUCUCAGCCUAACUGAGAAAAUUGCCAUUGAUACUGAUGAUCUUGAGUACAUUUUGAGGUAGGCGGAAUGUGUCAUGUAGCGGUGAAAAUGCUUAGAUAUGACACAGAACACCAUUGCGUAGGCAGCUUUA